UGGGGAAUAUUGCACAAUGGUCGAAAGCCUGAUGCAGCGACGCCGCGUGAGGGAUGACGGCCUUCGGGUUGUCAACCUCUUUCAGCAGGGACGAAGCGCAAGUGACGGUACCUGCAGAAGAAGCCCCGGCUAACUACGUGCCAGCAGCCGCGGUAAUACGUAGGGUGCAAGCGUUGUCCGGAAUUACUGGGCGUAAAGAGUUCGUAGGCGGUUUGUCGCGUCGUUUGUGAAAACCAGCAGCUCAACUGCUGGCUUGCAGGAGAUACGGGCAGACUUGAGUACGGCAGGGGAGACUGGAAUUCCGGGUGUAGCGGUGAAAUGCGCAGAUAUCAGGAGGAACACCGGUGGCGAAGGCGGGUCUCUGGGCAGUAACUGACGCUGAGGAACGAAAGCGUGGGUAGCGAACAGG
rnacentral:rRNA from 1 species